ACACCAGACGUAAAACCACUACUGAGAUUCAAAUUUGUCAUACUACUACCUAGCGUGUCCAAAACUUCUACUGCCUUGCCAAGCCCAGCUGUACCAGCUCUUCCUAAAAGUGAACUCACUUCUGAUACCUGUAAUACACCAAAAGAUAAGACAAAAAGCCAAUCUAAUCCCUUGUUUGCAUAUAUGGGAAGCCUUAAAGACCUGAAAAUGGGGAAGGGGGAGAGAAAGGAAAUGGUAAAGAAUAUAGAUCCAAUCGAACCCAUGAGAUAAGAACAAGCUCUUCUUUAAGACCAAUGUUUGGCACCAUGGAGGUAUUAGCUCAUUAGAAAAAUGGAGUCUAAUUAAUAUAAUUAAAAGCACAACAUAUGUAAGCACUUCUCUGUAAACUCACAUAUCUUGUAGUACAAACUCCAGCCUUCUUAUGACAAAGAAUUAUCUAGACAUCUAACCACACAAUAUCGAUUAGCACCUUCCUGUUGCACCUUCCAAUCAAUUGGCUGACAUUCACUAUAACUCUCCUCCCUAUAAACCUCACAAUGUGUUGCCAAGCUGGGACUCUUGCACAUCCAGAGUCCAGCAUGAAGGGGAAUAUUGCAGCUGAAAUUUGUUAUUAUUUUCUACAAUUCAUAGAUUGCUUAUGCAUUAUUUGUAGUGGGACACUUGUCACACAUCCCUCCCAUUCUCUCCCUUGUUUGUUAGGACACUUGGCACACAUCCUUGUUAUUCUCUUUCUUGUUGGUUAGGUACAGUUUUCUAUACAGCACCUUGUACUGAUCUUUUAUGCAAUGAGAAUGCAUGAAAUCAUUUCAUAAGUAUCUCCAAUGCUCACUGUAGGUUCAAAUGUGAUUCGGUUUUACCUUCGCUUUGAUACACUAAAUUUUGUUGUCUUGGCCUUAGCUAGUGAUGAAUUUUAAUCACAUUUCCAGAGAAAGAUAAAAGAGAAUUUGUAUUAAUGUUAAAUGAAUACAAAAGUGACUGAGUCUCUAAUUUACAGGCCUAUAAGGAGUCAGUCAAAACUCCUAACAGAUACUGCUCAAUACAAAAUACAAAAGAGAAGCGUAUUCUCUUAAACUCUGAAGAAAAUUCACUGAACCAAUUUAGAGAAUUAAAUACACAAAAUAAUGAGAAAUAUCCCGUUAAUAAUUAAAAUUGGCAUAGUUUUGUAAAUAUUGGAAUUUUUUAUGGAUAUUGUUUUACGUAAAUACACACUAUACUUCGUGAAAAAUUGCAGAAAAAUGUGGAAUACGCUCCCAUUGCCCAGCAGCAGUCUUGUCACUGCAGGGUGAGGAGUUCAACUUGGCACAAACUAUACGUAUGAGAGAUGAGAGAUGAGAGAAAAAUUAAAUCACAUAGAUUGAGUAUCAAACUACAAGAGGAGAUAACUGGAGUGAGAUUGAGAGAAGUGGUAGAUACUAAGAGUGACCUUCGUUCCCAUGAUGAUAUAACAAGAUGCAGAAUCAGUCAUGCAAUGAAGGUCCAGUGGUGUUUGCAAAAAGAGAUUUGCAAAUGGGUAGGCAAGGAUUUGGUAAAUGAGAAGAGAUUUUAGGGAUUUUGGAACCUGGUCAAACACAAACCAGCCUUUUUUACUUGCUCUGCCUAGCUGGGGACCAACGAUCCCACAAUUGCACAUGGAAUGUCGGAAUCCAGCUCCAACCUUACUCCUUGGCAAUCCCAACAACAAUUCAGCUUGCCAAGGCAUGUCCGAUUGGCAGAUCAUAUGAUCCUAUGAGGUAAAUCACGAUUUUAAUAACAAUGGUACAGAUGACUUGGGAUCACUGGAAAAUUUUCGCCAUGUCAGUUGGAUUAAAAACUAUAAGGUUGGUUUUACAGGAAUUCCAAGCAUGGAACUGCUUUAUGUGGUAGAAAUUGGAGAUGCAGUCUGCCCGAAAAUCAAUAUGUUGUCACUCUGCAAAUUUGGCGGCUCUUUAGUGAAUUUCAUCAGUGUAUACUAUCAGGAGCUCUGACCUAAUAGCUUAAGCUUUUUGGAGAGAUAAUCUUGAUAUUGUAUCAAAGCGUCAAUAGACAAGACCUCACAGGUUUGAUGCUUGAUGCUACUAUUCUAAAUAAAUUUGAAUUGGCAUGUUAGCNUUAAUACAAUUGUAUGAAUUUAUAUAAUUAGCUCACCCUUGCCUUUGUUGUUUGUGUUUAUGUAUGUUGUUUGAUUCCCUGUUGCGAUGAUCAUCAUUCUUGGAUGUGAGUAGAGGAGAAUGACGUCUCCGUUGAGAACGCUUUGGAAGAGAACCACGACACUGCUGCUACUUAGUUCCUUAGGAUUUUUUUUUUUAAACUGUUAAAUUCUAUUUGAACUCUGAUGUAUUUUGACAAACUUUAGUAUCUUCCCACGUGUUUUAAAUUUCUUCUAAAUUUCCUGGAUUACUGUAUAUAAUCUAUGGUGACGUCUUGAUUUUUGUAUACAUGUAUGUUAUAAAAUAAAGAUGUCACAGUAUGAAUAAAAAAUUAUAAAAAAUAAUUUGUCACACUAUUUUAUAAAGUAAAGAUUAUUGGUUUCUAAAUAUUCAUUAUGAAUAAAAAAAUUAUAAUUACUCAUUAUCUAUAUAUACAUAAUUAUCUAUAAAUACAUACAAGAUAAUGUUUAUCAUUAUCGGUAUCAGUGGAAAUAUGUGUAUAUGUAUUUAUUUUUACAUUAUGAUGACAAAAGUUAUUUUUUUAUUUAUUAUUAUUAAAACAAAAAUAGUAUUAGAUUUUAAAUGAAAUAUGUUCAUAUAAAAUGAUUUUAAAAUAAAUAAUUUUACCGUGGAUAAUUUUUAUUAUAUAUAAUUGAGUUUUAAAAGAUUAACUAUAAAUUUUAAAGGAUAAAAUAAUAAAAUAAGAUAUAUUAAUAAUAUAAAAUUGAAAAUAACACGUGUAUACUAAUGUAAAAUCUUUAAAAAGUAUAAAUAUGUAAACAAUUACAUUUUUAGAAAGUUUGUUGUAUCUAAAUAAUCUCAUUAUAUAUAAGAUGACAUUUAUAAUCACAUAUAUAUCUGUAUUUUUGUUUUUAUAUGAUUAAUAAGCGGGUGAGUUUAAAUAAGAUUUAUUUUGAAUUAAAUUUGUUUUAAAAGUGAGUUUUAAUUCAUUCAGCUUAAGAUAUGAACAAGAAAUUAUUCUUUUAACACAUUUAAAUUUUUUACAUUUUUUACAUUAUAGGUAGGAGAUAGAGACUGAAUCUUUAUCUUUUUUUCUUUUCUGUUGAGUAAUACUUAUUUAAGUUUUCUGUUUUUCUCCUUUUUGGAAGGAUGUCGCUUUCUGUUUUUCUCCUUUUUGAAAGCAUGUCGCCAACCUUCGUUCCCAUGAUGAUAUAACAAGAUUCAGAAUCAGUCAUGCAAUGCAUUUUGGAACCUGGUCAAACACAAACCAGCCUUUUAUACUUGCUCAGCCUUGCUAGGGACCAAAGAUCCCACAAUUGCACAUGGUUCGAUUGGCAGAUCACAUGAUCCUAUGAGGUAAAUCACGAUUUUAAUAACAAUGGUACAGAUUCACCCUAAAAUCAGUAAGAUGAUUUACACCUCACUUAUAUAUUAUAGAUAUAUUAUAGAUAGAAAUUGCCCGAAAAUCAAUAUGUUGUCACUCUGCAAAUUUGGCGGCUCUUUAGUGAAUUUCAUCAGUGUAUACUAUCAGGAGCUCUGACCUAAUAGCUUAAGCUUUUUGGAGAGAUAAUCUUGAUAUUGUAUCAAAGCGUCAAUAGACAAGACCUCACAGGUUUGAUGCUUGAUGCUACUAUUCUAAAUAAAUUUGAAUUGGCAUGUUAGCAAGGCAAAAAAAAAAUGCCUGAGUUCCCACAGAAUUGGUUAAGCUUUUGGGAGACUUUUAUCUUUGUCAGAGUGAAGUACGUAAGUUUUUAAGGGUAUACAUUUUAGCUAAAUAUGCUUUGAGAUUUUGGUUCAUGGCUCCACCUAAGUGCUCUACCCAUGGCUUUUUCAAGAGAGUUUCCGUUUCUAAUCUGAAGACAGUUUGUUUUCUUUCUCUGAAUAGUAUCUUGUCCCCCCAACUGUACCUCCCCUCUUUUCACUCUAAUGAAAUAGCUUUUUCUAUUAUAAAACUUCUUGUUUUUCCUUCAUAUUCACACAAAAAAAAAACAGCUUUCCAGCCAGAGGCAUCUUUGCAGCAUAUUGAUUAUAAGAACUUCCAAAUACAAAAUAAGCUAAUCCAACCUAGAAGAAUAAAAAGAUCAAACAUGAGAAAGGUACUCAACUUAACAGCAGCUUGUUUGGACUUAGAUUUAUGCGAUAAAACCCUGGACAGGCGAGGAAUCCCAUCAUUGAUAUCAUCUGCCAUUGACCCAUACGAAACAUUUUCCAAUCCAGUAAAAGAAAACGACUCUCGUUGAUGUUUAUCCAAGUCGUCAUCAUCAGGAAGCGCAUUUGAAUUGCUAUCUAUACUUCUGGGAGGUCCAAUAGACUGAUAAGCCAUUCCAGCUUCACUAUUAGCAUGACCAUUAGUAUGCCUCGAGCUUCCACUGAGUGCAUUAUCCACAGCUACACCAUCAACAGUGCCUUUCCAUGACCUCGAGCAAAUACCACCCAUAUUAUGUCUAAUUGCUUGUCACUCUAUAGUUUUCUUCUCUGUACACAAUGUCCAUACAACACACCCUAUAACUCAAACAAAACUUCAACACAGAGCCUUCAAUUCACAGGAAUGGUAUAAUCAAGGCACAAAAUUUGAUGAUACCAAUUUUGAUCACCCUUACUGCUCCACUCCAUCAACU
rnacentral:lncRNA from 1 species